rnacentral:rRNA from 1 species
GAUGAACGCUGGCGGCGUGCCUAAUACAUGCAAGUCGAGCGAAUGGAUUAAGAGCUUGCUCUUAUGAAGUUAGCGGCGGACGGGUGAGUAACACGUGGGUAACCUGCCCAUAAGACUGGGAUAACUCCGGGAAACCGGGGCUAAUACCGGAUAACAUUUUGAACCGCAUGGUUCGAAAUUGAAAGGCGGCUUCGGCUGUCACUUAUGGAUGGACCCGCGUCGCAUUAGCUAGUUGGUGAGGUAACGGCUCACCAAGGCAACGAUGCGUAGCCGGCCUGGGAGGGUGAUCGGCCACACUGGGACUGAGACACGGCCCAGACUCCUACGGGAGGCAGCAGUAGGGAAUCGUCCGCAAUGGACGAAAGUCUGACGGAGCAACGCCGCGUGGGUGAUGAAGGCUUUCGGGUCGUAAAACUCUGUUGUUAGGGAAGAACAAGUGCUAGUUGAAUAAGCUGGCACCUUGACGGUACCUAACCAGAAAGCCACGGCUAACUACGUGCCAGCCGCCGCGGUAA